rnacentral:rRNA from 1 species
CAGUAGCCGCGGUAAUACGUAGGGCGCAAGCGUUAUCCGGAAUUAUUGGGCGUAAAGAGCUCGUAGGCGGUUUGUCGCGUCUGCCGUGAAAGUCCGGGGCUCAACCCCGGAUCUGCGGUGGGUACGGGCAGACUAGAGUGAUGUAGGGGAGACUGGAAUUCCUGGUGUAGCGGUGAAAUGCGCAGAUAUCAGGAGGAACACCGAUGGCGAAGGCAGGUCCCUGGGCAUUAACUGACGCUGAGGAGCGAAAGCAUGGGGAGCGAACAGGAUUAGAUACCCCCGUAGUCCCUGUCUCUUAUAC